AUGCGCGCACACACCGCCCGUCACUCACCGCAAAUACGAACCCGUGUAAUAAUUAAAAAGCUUCUAUAAAAGAAGGGGAGGCAAGUCGUAACAUGGUAAGUG
rnacentral:rRNA from 1 species